rnacentral:rRNA from 1 species
CCGGGCCUACGGGGGGCAGCAGUGGGGAAUAUUGCACAAUGGGGGAAACCCUGAUGCAGCAACGCCGCGUGAGUGAAGAAGGUUUUUGGAUUGUAAAGCUCUGUUAGCAGGGAAGAGGAAGGACGGUACCUGCAGAGGAAGCCACGGCUAACUACGUGCCAGCAGCCGCGGUAAUACGUAGGUGGCAAGCGUUAUCCGGAUUUACUGGGUGUAAAGGGAGCGCAGGCGGCGUGGCAAGUCAGAUGUGAAAACCCGGGGCCCAACCCCGGGAGUGCAUUUGAAACUGCCAUGCUGGAGUGCCGGAG